rnacentral:rRNA from 1 species
UGGGGAAUAUUGGACAAUGGGCGAAAGCCUGAUCCAGCCAUGCCGCGUGUGUGAAGAAGAUCUUCGGAUUGUAAAGCACUUUAAGUUGGGAGGAAGGGCAGUAAGCGAAUACCUUGCUGUUUUGACGUUACCGACAGAAUAAGCACCGGCUAACUCUGUGCCAGCAGCCGCGGUAAUACAGAGGGUGCAAGCGUUAAUCGGAAUUACUGGGCGUAAAGCGCGCGUAGGUGGUUCGUUAAGUUGAAUGUGAAAGCCCCGGGCUCAACCUGGGAACUGCAUCCAAAACUGGCGAGCUAGAGUAGGGCAGAGGGUGGUGGAAUUUCCUGUGUAGCGGUGAAAUGCGUAGAUAUAGGAAGGAACACCAGUGGCGAAGGCGACCACCUGGGCUCAUACUGACACUGAGGUGCGAAAGCGUGGGGAGCAAACAGG